GGCUCAGAUUGAACGCUGGCGGCAGGCCUAACACAUGCAAGUCGAGCGGAAACGAGUUAUCUGAACCUUCGGGGGACGAUAACGGCGUCGAGCGGCGGACGGGUGAGUAAUGCCUAGGAAAUUGCCCUGAUGUGGGGGAUAACCAUUGGAAACGAUGGCUAAUACCGCAUGAUGCCUACGGGCCAAAGAGGGGGACCUUCGGGCCUCUCGCGUCAGGAUAUGCCUAGGUGGGAUUAGCUAGUUGGUGAGGUAAGGGCUCACCAAGGCGACGAUCCCUAGCUGGUCUGAGAGGAUGAUCAGCCACACUGGAACUGAGACACGGUCCAGACUCCUACGGGAGGCAGCAGUGGGGAAUAUUGCACAAUGGGCGCAAGCCUGAUGCAGCCAUGCCGCGUGUGUGAAGAAGGCCUUCGGGUUGUAAAGCACUUUCAGUCGUGAGGAAGGUAGUGUAGUUAAUAGCUGCAUUAUUUGACGUUAGCGACAGAAGAAGCACCGGCUAACUCCGUGCCAGCAGCCGCGGUAAUACGGAGGGUGCGAGCGUUAAUCGGAAUUACUGGGCGUAAAGCGCAUGCAGGUGGUUUGUUAAGUCAGAUGUGAAAGCCCGGGGCUCAACCUCGGAAUUGCAUUUGAAACUGGCAGACUAGAGUACUGUAGAGGGGGGUAGAAUUUCAGGUGUAGCGGUGAAAUGCGUAGAGAUCUGAAGGAAUACCGGUGGCGAAGGCGGCCCCCUGGACAGAUACUGACACUCAGAUGCGAAAGCGUGGGGAGCAAACAGGAUUAGAUACCCUGGUAGUCCACGCCGUAAACGAUGUCUACUUGGAGGUUGUGGCCUUGAGCCGUGGCUUUCGGAGCUAACGCGUUAAGUAGACCGCCUGGGGAGUACGGUCGCAAGAUUAAAACUCAAAUGAAUUGACGGGGGCCCGCACAAGCGGUGGAGCAUGUGGUUUAAUUCGAUGCAACGCGAAGAACCUUACCUACUCUUGACAUCCAGAGAACUUUCCAGAGAUGGAUUGGUGCCUUCGGGAACUCUGAGACAGGUGCUGCAUGGCUGUCGUCAGCUCGUGUUGUGAAAUGUUGGGUUAAGUCCCGCAACGAGCGCAACCCUUAUCCUUGUUUGCCAGCGAGUAAUGUCGGGAACUCCAGGGAGACUGCCGGUGAUAAACCGGAGGAAGGUGGGGACGACGUCAAGUCAUCAUGGCCCUUACGAGUAGGGCUACACACGUGCUACAAUGGCGCAUACAGAGGGCAGCCAACUUGCGAAAGUGAGCGAAUCCCAAAAAGUGCGUCGU
rnacentral:rRNA from 1 species